rnacentral:lncRNA from 1 species
AGUAGCAUUUCAGAGUGCCACGAGCCUCAUCUUGUUGUCAACACAGGGUACACCAUCCCCUGGUUGCAUUAUUUUCUAUCAACAAAGGGUACACCAUCCCCUGGAUGCAUAAUUUUCUGUCAACACAGGGUACAAUAUCCCCCGGUUGUCUCAUCUUGUUGUCAACAUAGGGUACACCAUCCCCUGGUUGCAUUAUUUUCUGUCAACACAGGGUACACCAUCCCCUGGAUGUAUUAUUUUCUAUCAACACAGGGUAAAACAUCCGCUGGUUGUCUCAUCUUGUUGUCAACACAGUGUAGACCAUCCAUGUAUGCAUUAUUUUCUGUCAACACAGGGCACACCAUCCCCUGGUUGCAUUAUUUUCUGUCAACACAGGGAACAACAUCCCCUGGUUGUCUCAUCUUAUUGUCAACACUGGGUACCCCAUCCCCUUGUUUCAUUAUUUUCUGUCAACACAGGGUACAACAUCCCCUGGUUGAAUUAUUUUCUACAUAGUGUAUAACAUUCCCUAGUAGCAUGUCAGAGUGCCACGAGUCUCAUCUUGUUGUCAACACAUGGUACACCAUCCCCUAGUUGCAUUAUUUUCUGUCAACACUGGGUACAACAUCCCCUGGUUGUCUCAUCUUGUUGUCACCACUAGGAGCACCAUCCCCUGGUUGCAUUAUUUUCUGUCAACACAGGGUACACCAUCCCCAGGUUGCAUUAUUGUUUGUAAACACAGGGUACACCAUCCCCUGGAUGCAUUAUUAUCUAUCAACACAAGUUACACCAUCCCCUGGUGGUAUUAUUUUCUGUCAACACAGGGUAUACCAUCCCCUGGAUGCAUUAUUUUCUGUCAAAACAGGGUACACCACCCCCAUGCAUUAUUUUCUGUUAACAAAGGGUACAACAUCCUCUGGUUGUCUCAUCUUGUUGUCAACACGGGGUACACCAUCCACUGGUUGCAUUAUGUUCUGUCAACAAAGGGUACACCAUCCCCUGGAUGCAUUAUUCUCUGUCAACAGAGGGUACAACAUCCCCUGGUUGUCUCAUGUUGUUCUCAACACAGGGUACACCAUCCGCUGGUUGCAUUAUUUUCUGUUAACACAAGGUACAACAUUCCCUGGUUAUCUCAUCUUGUUUUCAACACAUGAUACACCAUCCCCUAGUUGCAUUAUUUUUUGUAAACGCUGGGUACAACAUCCCCUGGUUGAAUUAUUUUCUACAUAGGGUAUAACAAUCCCUAGUAGCAUUUCAGAGUGCCACGAGCCUCAUCUUGUUGUCAACACAGGGUACAUCAUCCCCUGGUUGCAUUAUUUUCUGUUACCACAGGGUACACCAUCCCCUAGAUGCAUUAUUUUCAGUCAACAUAGGGUACAACAUCCCCUGGUUGUUUCAUCUUGUUGUCAACACAGGGUACACCAUCCCUGGCUGCAUUAUUUUCUAUCAACACAGGGUACACAAUCCCCUGGAUGCAUUAUUCCCUGUUAACACAGGGUACAACAUUCCCUGGUUGUCUCAUCUUGUUGUCAACACAGGGUACACCAUCCCAUGGUUGCAUUAUUUUCUGUCAACAGAGUAUAACAUCCCCUGAUUGUUUCACCUUGUUGUCAACAUAGGGUACACCAUCCCCUGGUUACAUUAUUUUCUGUCAACAAAGGGUACACCAUCCCC